rnacentral:rRNA from 1 species
CCUACGGGUGGCUGCAGUAGGGAAUAUUGGGCAAUGGGCGAAAGCCUGACCCAGCCAUGCCGCGUGCAGGAAGACGGCCCUCUGGGUUGUAAACUGCUUUUGCAGGAGAAGAAAAGGGCCUUGCGAGGCACACUGACGGUACCCUGCGAAUAAGCCACGGCUAACUACGUGCCAGCAGCCGCGGUAAUACGUAGGUGGCAAGCGUUGUCCGGAUUUAUUGGGUUUAAAGGGUGCGUAGGUGGUGGAUUAAGUCUGUGGUGAAAGACGAUCGCUCA